AACGAACGCUGGCGGCAGGCUUAACACAUGCAAGUCGAGCGCAUCGCAAGAUGAGCGGCAGACGGGUGAGUAACGCGUGGGAAUCUACCGAGCCCUACGGAAUAGCUCCGGGAAACUGGAAUUAAUACCGUAUGCGCCCUACGGGGGAAAGAUUUAUCGGGGUUUGAUGAGCCCGCGUUGGAUUAGCUAGUUGGUGGGGUAAAGGCCUACCAAGGCGACGAUCCAUAGCUGGUCUGAGAGGAUGAUCAGCCACAUUGGGACUGAGACACGGCCCAACCUCCUACGGUAGGCAGCAGUGGAGAAUAUUGGACAAUGGGCGCAAGCCUGAUCCAGCAAUGCCGCGUGAGUGAAGAAGGCCUUCGGGUUGUAAAGCUCUUUCGAUGGGGACGAUGAUGACGGUACCCAUAGAAGAAGCCCCGGCAAACUUCGUGCCAGCAGCCGCCGUAACAC
rnacentral:rRNA from 1 species